rnacentral:rRNA from 1 species
AGAGUUUGAUCCUGGCUCAGAUUGAACGCUGGCGGCAUGCUUUACACAUGCAAGUCGAACGGCAGCACGGGGGCAACCCUGGUGGCGAGUGGCGAACGGGUGAGUAAUAUAUCGGAACAUAUCCGGAAGUGGGGGAUAACGUACCGAAAGGUACGCUAAUACCGCAUAUGCCCUGAGGGGGAAAGGAGGGGAUCGCAAGACCUUUCGCUUUCGGAGUGGCCGAUAUCGGAUUAGCUAGUUGGUGAGGUAAAGGCUCACCAAGGCGACGAUCCGUAGCUGGUCUGAGAGGACGACCAGCCACACUGGAACUGAGACACGGUCCAGACUCCUACGGGAGGCAGCAGUGGGGAAUUUUGGACAAUGGGGGCAACCCUGAUCCAGCCAUGCCGCGUGAGUGAAGAAGGCCUUCGGGUUGUAAAGCUCUUUCAGCCGGAAAGAAAACGCACGGGUUAAUACCUUGUGUGGAUGACGGUACCGGAAGAAGAAGCACCGGCUAACUACGUGCCAGCAGCCGCGGUAAUACGUAGGGUGCGAGCGUUAAUCGGAAUUACUGGGCGUAAAGCGUGCGCAGGCGGUUUUGUAAGACAGAUGUGAAAUGCCCGGGCUUAACCUGGGAACUGCAUUUGUGACUGCAAGGCUAGAGUUUGGCAGAGGGGGGUAGAAUUCCACGUGUAGCAGUGAAAUGCGUAGAUAUGUGGAGGAAUACCGAUGGCGAAGGCAGCCCCCUGGGCUAACACUGACGCUCAUGCACGAAAGCGUGGGGAGCAAACAGGAUUAGAUACCCUGGUAGUCCACGCCCUAAACGAUGUCAACUAGGUGUUGGGGAAGCGAUUUCUCAGUACCGCAGCUAACGCGUGAAGUUGACCGCCUGGGGAGUACGGUCGCAAGAUUAAAACUCAAAGGAAUUGACGG